AGAAUCAACGCUGGCGGCGUGCCUAACACAUGCAAGUCGCACGAGAAAGGGUAGCAAUACCUGAGUACAGUGGCGCACGGGUGAGUAACACGUGAAUAAUCUACCUCCGAGUGGGGAAUAAACCUAGGGAAACCUGGGCUAAUACCGCAUAACACUUACGAGUCAAAGCAGCAAUGCGCUUGGAGAGGAGUUCGCGGCAGAUUAGCUAGUUGGUGGGGUAAUGGCCCACCAAGGCGAUGAUCUGUA
rnacentral:rRNA from 1 species